GGGAGUUCACACAGGUUUUUGUGACUCGCGUGCUAAAAAGGGAAAGUACUCUGGCACGACCAUACUUAGGUGUAGAGAGUAUGGGGGAUGCUCUUUUUAUGCCCGUUGCAUGGCCAACAAACAAGAUGGGUCGUAACAAAAAAUCAACGUUGACCCAAGGUUCUACAGCAGCAGAACUUAUUCGGUGAUCUUUUGGCCCAUCUUUGCUGAUACCGACAUAGUACACAUGCUGCUGUUGUCAAGGGAAGAGGUGCUGGAAGCAAGGAUCAGAGUGCUUGAAGUGUGUGAAAAAUGAUUACUCGCAUGCAUGCUAGCCGUUGGCGUAACACCAAGCUGAUGGAGAGAUUUUAGUUUGCUAGAUGAAUCUUUAGACUUUGCAUGUAAUAGAACUGAAAGAUCACUUCAGAAUUUAGAAAACAUGUAUGCUAUUAUUUUUAUAUGUUCAUCACACAAAUUGUGUUCCAAAACAAUAUAUGUUGGAAUUCAAAGUCAAAGAUU